rnacentral:rRNA from 1 species
UACGUAGGGUGCAAGCGUUAUCCGGAAUUAUUGGGCGUAAAGAGCUCGUAGGCGGUUUGUCGCGUCUGCUGUGAAAACUGGAGGCUCAACCUCCAGCCUGCAGUGGGUACGGGCAAACUAGAGUGCGGUAGGGGAGAUUGGAAUUCCUGGUGUAGCGGUGGAAUGCGCAGAUAUCAGGAGGAACACCGAUGGCGAAGGCAGAUCUCUGGGCCGUAACUGACGCUGAGGAGCGAAAGCAUGGGGAGCGAACAGGG